rnacentral:rRNA from 1 species
GGUUCAGGAUGAACGCUAGCGACAGGCCUAACACAUGCAAGUCGAGGGGCAGCACAAGGAGCAAUCUGAGGUGGCGACCGGCGCACGGGUGAGUAACACGUAUGCAACCUGCCUGUAAGCGGGGAAUAACCCGUUGAAAGACGGACUAAUACCGCAUAAUACUAAAUUACUGCAUGGUAAUUUAUUUAAACAUUUAUGGCUUACAGAUGGGCAUGCGCAUGAUUAGCUAGUUGGAGAGGUAACGGCUCCCCAAGGCAACGAUCAUUAGGGGUUCUGAGAGGAAGGUCCCCCCACACUGGUACUGAGACACGGACCAGACUCCUACGGGAGGCAGCAGUGAGGAAUAUUGGUCAAUGGACGAGAGUCUGAACCAGCCAAGUCGCGUGCAGGAAGAAUGUCCUAUGGAUUGUAAACUGCUUUUGCAGGGGAAUAAAGUGCAUCACGUGUGAUGUUUUGUAUGUACUCUGCGAAUAAGGAUCGGCUAACUCCGUGCCAGCCGCGGC